CAGUCGCCACGGUAAUACGUAGGGUGCAAGCGUUAAUCGGAAUUACUGGGCGUAAAGCGUGCGCAGGCGGUUAUAUAAGACAGAUGUGAAAUCCCCGGGCUCAACCUGGGAACUGCAUUUGUGACUGUAUAGCUAGAGUACGGCAGAGGGGGAUGGAAUUCCGCGUGUAGCAGUGAAAUGCGUAGAUAUGCGGAGGAACACCGAUGGCGAAGGCAAUCCCCUGGGCCUGUACUGACGCUCAUGCACGAAAGCGUGGGGAGCAAACAGGAUUAGAUACCCCGUAGUCCCUGUCUCUUAUACA
rnacentral:rRNA from 1 species